UACGGGGGGGGCAAGCGUUGUUCGGAAUUACUGGGCGUAAAGGGCUCGUAGGCGGCCAACUAAGUCAGACGUGAAAUCCCUCGGCUUAACCGGGGAACUGCAUCUGAUACUGGAUGGCUUGAGUUCGGGAGAGGGAUGUGGAAUUCCAGGUGUAGCGGUGAAAUGCGUAGAUAUCUGGAGGAACACCGGUGGCGAAGGCGGCAUCCUGGACCGACACUGACGCUGAGGAGCGAAAGCCAGGGGAGCAAACAGG
rnacentral:rRNA from 1 species